rnacentral:rRNA from 1 species
AUGGCCCUUACGACCAGGGCUACGGACGGGUGAGUAAUGUCUGGGAAACUGCCCGAUGGAGGGGGAUAACUACUGGAAACGGUAGCUAAUACCGCAUAAUGUCGCAAGACCAAAGAGGGGGACCUUCGGGCCUCUUGCCAUCGGAUGUGCCCAGAUGGGAUUAGCUAGUUGGUGAGGUAAUGGCUCACCAAGGCGACGAUCCCUAGCUGGUCUGAGAGGAUGACCAGCCACACUGGAACUGAGACACGGUCCAGACUCCUACGGGAGGCAGCAGUGGGGAAUAUUGCACAAUGGGCGCAAGCCUGAUGCAGCCAUGCCGCGUGUGUGAAGAAGGCCUUCGGGUUGUAAAGCACUUUCAGCGGGGAGGAAGGCAAUACGGUUAAUAACCGUGUUGAUUGACGUUACCCGCAGAAGAAGCACCGGCUAACUCCGUGCCAGCAGCCGCGGUAAUACGGAGGGUGCAAGCGUUAAUCGGAAUUACUGGGCGUAAAGCGCACGCAGGCGGUCUGUCAAGUCGGAUGUGAAAUCCCCGGGCUCAACCUGGGAACUGCAUUCGAAACUGGCAGGCUUGAGUCUUGUAGAGGGGGGUAGAAUUCCAGGUGUAGCGGUGAAAUGCGUAGAGAUCUGGAGGAAUACCGGUGGCGAAGGCGGCCCCCUGGACAAAGACUG